rnacentral:rRNA from 1 species
UACGUAGGAGGCAAGCGUUGUUCGGAAUUACUGGGCGUAAAGCGCACGUAGGCGGACAUUUAAGUCAGGGGUGAAAUCCCGGGGCUUCAACCCCGGAACGGCCUUUGAUACUGGGUGUCUUGAGUUCGGAAGAGGUGAGUGGAAUUGCGAGUGUAGAGGUGAAAUUCGUAGAUAUUCGCAGGAACACCAGUGGCGAAGGCGGCUCACUGGUCCGAUACUGACGCUGAGGUGCGAAAGCGUGGGGAGCAAACAGG